CCACUGUAGGCGAGGAACAGAAGGAUUCUGAUGAGGAUUUCACCACUCCACCCCCGUCAACCCAGUCUCGAUCUAACGUCAAGGAGGUUUUGUGUGCCAAACCUCUGUCCUUUGUUGAUGGCAAGGCCGCCCCUGUUGCCCCCUCGAAUGUCUGUUUGAAGGCUGGUAGGAGGAGCAAAAGGCUUAGAACCUUUUCUAGUAAAUUAGAUGAGAGGUUCCAUUUCGAUAAGAAAAUUAAGGGCUUAGUUGGCCACCCUUCCCCGUUGGUAGUAGGAAGUAAUCAAUGCGUUGACCCUGAGGAACGAUUCCAAGGAUCUCUUAAAAAACUCAAGGCGACAAGUUCUGUUUCCCUGGGU